rnacentral:sRNA from 1 species
ACCUGCCUCUGCUUCCCAACUGCUGGGGUUAAAGGCAUGUGCCACCAUGCCUGGCUCUUUCUUUUUAAAUGGAGAAACUUGAAUGUGUUCUUUAGCGUCCCUUGUUCUUUCCUUUAAGGAAUGGCUCCUAGCUUUUCAUGUAAUGAGAAAAGACAUCGAAGAGGCUGAGGAUAUGGCUCUGGGGUAGCGAUUGCCUAGCAACUUGAAGGAAUAAGAUGAACUCGUGAUGUGCAGUCAUUGAUACUGUUUCCCUGCUGCGGUACACGGUUUUAGUUUGCUGCUCAUACAAAAGAUUGAUUGUAACGAGAGCUUUGUUUACUGUCAGCUUAUUUUGGGUAAACGAAGCAUGUGAAAUUUCAUGUGGGGUCUGGAGAAAUGACUCAGAGGUGAGGAGCACCUCCCGCUCUCCCAGAGGACCCAGGUUGGAUCCCCCGCAUCCAUGUCAUCGGUUCACAGUCACAUGUGAUUCCAGCUCCAGGGGUCCCAGUCUGUCUCUUCUGCUCUCCGCAGGUAUCUGUUCACACAAGGCACACGUGCACAUAGGUACACAUACGUGAAAAUGUGAUCACACAUGGCACAUGUGCACAUAGGUACACACAAAUGAAAAUGUGAUCACACAUGGCACACGUGCACAUAGGUACACACAAAUGAAAAUGUGAUACACAAGGCACAUGUACACAUAGGUACACACAAAUGAAAAUGUGAUCACACAAGGCACACGUGCACAUAGGUACACAUAAGUGAAAAUGUGAUCAUACAUGGCACACGUGCACAUAGGUACACACAAAUGAAAAUGUGAUUCACAAGGCACACGUGCACAUAGGUACACACAAAUGAAAAUGUGAUCACACAUGGCACAUGUGCACAUAGGUACACACAAAUGAACAUGUGAUACACAAGGCACAUGUACACAUAGGUACAGACAAAUGAAAGUGUGAUCACACACGGCAUUGAUGCACACAUAAAUGAAAAUGUGAUCACACAUGGCACACGUACACAUAGAUACACACAAAUGAAAAAGUAAAAAUUAACCCUUCAGAUAGCUUCGCUGUAUCAUCUUGGCUUUUGUAGGUCUUCUUACCAUGGUGCUGACUCAAGUCUAACCUUUCUGUUCUCGCUUACAAGGCACACAGCAGAUGGGGACUGUCCAUACUGUGAAAGGACAGGAUUUAGGGCUAGUUUAGAAAGGGCCAUGCUGCUUGCUGCUUCUCUAUCAACACCGUCUGUGGACAAACUCUAAGGAUAGUUCUGUAGAGCAUUUCAUGUGUCAUUAAGGGUCCAGGCUUUGUGGCUCUCAGGAGGGAAGUGGGACUGGAAGCGGGAAGGUCUUUCUGCCUUUGUGGACUGUGGAGAGGAGUGAGCGAAUGUUGGGAGAGUGGACGUGUUACGGGAGCUAUAUGCCAAUGUUCUGUGGUUAUGGGGGUGCUAAAUGGACCAAGGGAUAGGUAAUAACCGUACAGUUUGGGUCUUCGUCUCUAUGCCUCUUCCUCUAUUUGGGAUCUCUUUUCUUUUUUUGUACUGCUGGGGAUAGAACCCAGGGCUUUACUCAUACUAGGCACACCCUCCCCCCCCAGCCUUAUAAUUUAGCAUCAUGAGAAGGGAAAGCUGCUGACUGUAGCCCAACAGUGGUAGAAGGAAGUGGCUACACAGGGGAGCCUGAGGGGCAAGGGAUUCUGAAAUGCUGUCAGUGAGGUGGAUGGAGGAGGUUAGUGACCAAGGGAAGAGUGGGCAUCAGGACAAGGGACUGUGUGGUGGCAGACCCUUAAGUCAGGACUGGAUACCAGGGAUCGGAGCAGAAUGACGUCUCAAGAGAUGAGGUGGCACCCGUCCAGUAAAGGGACUGGAUUAUUCUGUGUCACAGAGAACAGUGAGCAUCUAAGGCCAUGGCACACUGCGUCCAGGGUGUCUCAGAAGACCUGGGGGAGGGGAAAAAACCUUCAAAGCAACCACUCAGACCAGUCUGGUAAGGAGCUGUGCUAAAAAUAUGAAUGUUAACUGGGAAAAAAUUGAUUUUGUUAUUUGACACAUUUUAAAUUUUCCUGGCUCUUUAUUAGAUAGAUGUUUAAGAAAAAAAAGAUGGGUUCUAGAACAAGCCACAUCAUCUUCAGGAGAUAGAUUACGGCGCUUGGAGAAAACAAGGUAGCCAUGUUGGAGUUGACAUGUGUAUGUCUAGGCCAUGACAUAGGCAGUGCGGGAACAUGGUUUAGUAAGACAGUGGAGUCUUUCUUGGCUAAGGACUGGACCUAGACUAGGGUUAAAGGGAAACAGCUCCAUGCGUAUGGAGAGACGUGGUGUGUGGGAGCAGGCAGCUGCAGAGAUUAAAGUCCAAUACAGCGGCACACACCUUUCAUCCCAGCAUUCGGGAGACAGAGGCAGGUAGAUCCCUGAUAUGAGGCUAGCCUGGUCUAUGUAGCACAUUCCAAGCCAGCCAUAGUGAAAUCUCAUGAGUUCUAGAACAAGCCACAUCAUGUUCAGGAGAUAGAUUACAAAAAACCUAAGCACACAAGACAGAACAUUGAAACGAACAUUGCUUUCAUUGCUAGAGAAAUGGCUCAGCGGUGAAGGGAGCUGGCUAUCCUUCCAGAGAAUCCAGGUUUGAUUCUCAGCGCCAACCGUCUGACUCUCACAACUGUCUGUAACCCUUGGCUUCUGCAGGCACUGGUCAUGUGCAUGUGAUGCCUAGACGAACACGCAGUCAACCCUGCCCACAUAAAUACACUUAAAAUUUUUUUUAAAAAGGUGUGAGACAGCCAAGGAAGUGGUUGCUAAGGGACUUAGACUUAGAUUCAAAAUAGUUUUCUAGGAAAGAAGAGGGAAUUGCCUGCUGAAAUGUGGGCUUGAUGUAAAGUGUGGCGGGACCUGUUAAAACCUGUUUUUUGUUUAACCUCUGAAUGCCUCGUGCUUUCGUCCUGCUGCAGUAGCAGCUGCUGGCUGUGAAUGUUGGAUUGACCCAGAUGUUGGGUGGCUGUGAUCGGUGCAGAGGGCGGAAGGACCUUGAGCUGUAGGUAAGAGCACACACAAUGGUAGAUUACAGCCUGUAAGCUGGGGAUGAGAUCACGGGGAAAGGGGUGGGUUGUGAGUGUGGCGGAAUUACACAGCUAAAGGUCUUUUUAGUUGUUUAGGACAGGGUCUCAUGUCACCCAGACCGGCCUGAACUAUGUAGCCAAGAAUGGCAUUUGACUUCUGGUCUUCUUCGCUCUGCCUCCUACCUCCUGAGUUCUGGGAUUAUGGAGGUAUGGUCUCUCUCGGGCCUGGGACUCACCAAGUAGACUAGGUUCCCUAGCUGCUGCUCUAACUCUGGGAUAACAAGAAUGCACAUCAUACGUGGAUUCUUUUUAGAGGACCUGGGUUUGCUUCUUAGACCUGUGCAGUAGCUUGCAACUCCCUGCAACUUCGCUUCCCGAGUUUCUGACUCUCUUCACCAGCAAGGAGGUUUAGGAAAGGGCCGUGUGGCUGAGCUCCGAGCCGGACAGCAUUUGACCCAUGUGAACGCUACAGCAGAGGACGUUCCUAAUCAGACCGGAUGACUGCUCUGCACACGGCAGUAAGCUGCUCUCCGUUUCCAGACUGCUUGAUGCUUGCUCGGAGUGCUCGAGGAGAGAAGGACUUGGGACGGGGAUAGAGGAUGGUGCCUAGAAAUCAGUAUACUGUAGACUUCUCCAGUAGUAAUAAUUAAUUAAUUAAUUAAUCCUGGGUUUCCUAGGUGGCCUCCAGGAGACCUCCAGGACCAGCCAGCUGCCUACCGUCAGUUUGUAUUUAUUGCCCUGUCAUGGGGACGUCAGAUCUCGUCCCCUUGUGCUGCUGUGCACUGAUGUGUGCUGUGCUGCUUUGACUCAUGACUGAUAUUGGAGAGCUCUGUGAGCUCUGGAAUUCUUGAUCUCCUCUGACUUUUCAUGGGCUGAGUUGCUGCUCAUACCUGUGGUGGUGACUGCUCUCCGUGUGUGCUGUCCUCUGGCAUAGCCCCCUCGAAAGCUGGAAAGUUUGUUAAAACAGAUUCAGUAGGAAGAUUGAAGAAAAGGCUGCCGAGGACAGUGGCAAGUCCGUCUGUUUUUGAGAUAAGGUCUAUGACCCAGGGUGGCUUGGAAAUCAACGUGUGGUUGAGGAUGACCUCGUACUAUUGAUCCUGCUUCCACCUUCCAAGUGUUGGUAAUACAGGCCUAUACAACCAGAUCGGUGUAAGAGAUUUUGUUUAUGUGGACCUUAUCUAUGAAUAUUUUACAGCAUAAAGAAAUGAAAACUGGAAAAUGCAAAACAAUUAUCAAAACAUACUAAUUUUAAGUAAAGCUUUCAUUUGUUUAUUUUUGGUUCCUUGAAGGGGGGCGUUUAUGUGGUCCAGGCUAUCUUCUAACUCCUAGGUAGCUGAGGCUAGCCUUGAACUCGGGUCCUCCUGCCCCCACCCUCCAAGAUCUGGGGUAACAGGUGCAUGCUGCUGUGCUUGGAUUACAAACCAACCAUGUGUUCUCGCGGCUAGAGAGAUAGCUCUGUGCUGAGGAGUCUGUUCCUUUUGUAAAAGACCAGAGUUUGUUCCCAGUACCCAUAUUGGAGAACACACUACUGCCUUUAACACGGUCUCCCAGUGAUCCAAAGCAGCUUUCUGGCUUCUGUGUGCUUGUGCACACAUGAACACACACACCCAUGUGUAUGUGUAUGUGUGUGUG